rnacentral:misc_RNA from 1 species
GAUGAAGAACGUAGCGAAAUGCGAUAAGUAAUAUGAAUUGCAGAAUUCAGUGAAUCAUCGAAUCUUUGAACGCACCUUGCACCCUUUGGCAUUCCGAAGGGUAUGCUCGUUUGAGUGUCAUUGUACUCUCACACUUCCAAUCUUUGGAUUGGGAGCAGUGGACUUGGGUGUUGCUGCUUACUGUGGCUCACCUCAAAUCGAUUCGUGCACCUCUUGGUUGGACAUAGUACGGCGUGAUAAGUGUCUUCGCCGGCACCUCAGUAGAGGGUGGCUGAUCAGGAGCUCUGUGCUUCAAACCGUCCUCGGACAACAACUGACAACUUGACCUCAAAUCGAGUAGGACUACCCGCUGAACUUAAGCAUAUCAAUAAGCGGAGGA